GGAUGUGAGGGCAAUCUGGUGCGACAUCUGUCACCCCAUUGAUCACCAGGGUUGAUUCGGCUGAUCUGGCUGGCUAGGCGGGUGUCCCCUUCCUCCCUCACCAUAUGUGCGUCCCUCCCAAAGCUGCGCAAUUGGUCGAAGAGGACGACUUUCCCUGCUAGAGGAGGACCGGUCUUCAGUAAAGGGUAUACAAGUAGCUGCACUCCCCUGCUAGAACCUCCAAACAAGCUCUCAAAAUAUAGAUUGUUUACUUUGGAGUUUUUGUUCCAGGACUGUGAAUAGUCAUGGACAUACACAAAGAAAUGGAAUAAUCUCUGAAGAUGUUU
rnacentral:snRNA from 1 species